UAUCGCCGGCGUUCGAAACGGUCGCAAGUGGAUUGAUGCCGUUUGCCUUUGCGGAAUAACGACCCGUCCUGAUUCGUGGAUGAAUACAGAUUACAACCGUUUUAGCAGAAUGACAAUGGACGUCCAUCAGCACAGAAACGUGACGACGGCUGCGUCCUCGUCACCACCGUCGCGGUACUCACCGCCAGUGGCCGCCGGAAUCGCGCAGCCGGUGCAGACUUCCUUGCCCGCAACUGUGGUCGCGUUGCACCAGCGGCCGCAGAAGCGGAGUUUCGACGUGGCGUUCCUGAUGGCACCGGAUGACCUGAGCAAGCGAAGGCCGCGGCCAAUGCAGGCUGCACAGCCCGUAGCCCGGUCUGCGUUCACCAAAGUGUCACCGGACCCGCCGUUAUCACUUUCGCCGGUCUCGUCUCCGGCCACGCCACCACCCUCAGAUUUUGCAGCCUACAUGCACCACAGCCAGCUGCACCACCAGCAGCAUCACGGUCAGCCGCAGCCACAAAUCCACCCACAUCCCCUUCAGUCACAGCAAGAGUGCAGCCUCAGCCCACCCCUGCCACCGGUCGCGGCGCAUUUUAUGUCGCCGUUUCCGCUUGGCUUCCGGUCGCCGUUCGCGCUGAUGAUGCCACCACGGCCGCAACCCACCGCGGUCGGCUGCAAAGACUAUCCGUCGCCGCUCCAACCAUCGCCUCAGUCACACCACCACCAUCAGCAGCAGCCACAGCAGCAGCAGCAGCAGCAGCAGCAACACCACCACCAGCUGCAGUCGUUGUCGACACCGUCGCCGUUGCAGUUCGGGCAGGCGGCGGCAGCGGCAGCAGCCGUGGCCGCUCUCCCGGCGAUGCUGUUACCCGCGUCCAUUGCCGCAGCAGCUCUUACAUUACCUUCACAAAACGUGUGCGCCAAGUGUAACGUGAGCUUCCGCAUGACAUCCGAUCUGGUGUACCACAUGCGGUCCCACCACAAGGGUGGUGAUGGAAACGGUGGCGUUGGCACCGGCAGCGGUGUAGGAAGCGGUGUUGGUGGCGGGGUUGGUGUAGGAGGCACGGGUGUCGGUGUGGAUGCCAAGAAACGACGUGACAUGGAUAAGCUCCGGUGUCCGGUGUGCGACGAGAGCUUCCGGGAACGGCACCACCUAACGCGACACAUGACCGCGCAUCAGGACAAGGAGGGCGACCGGCUGGACGACGAGGACGACGUGCCGUUGCAGCAACAGCACCACCAGCUGCACCAGCACCAAGGGGCCAAAUGACGCAAGGCGGCCGCGGGUGGACGGAGGCGUAACGCCUCGUACUCGCGCUUCGCGAACGAUCAUCGCGUUUAGAAGAUUCCUCAUCUCCUCGGCAUUUAUACGCCAACCCUAUCCCGUCACAUCGACCCACCCGUUCCUCCAUCCACAUUGACCGAAUCUUACUGUUUGUACGUUUAAGUACAAACGAUUCAUGUUAUCAAAUUAUGAUUCAGUAGGUAGCCUCCAAUAUACCGCAAACGGUGCGUAGUGAUAUACCAGAUGUUCGAAUGGUAUCACAUAAACUUACGUCGUUCCCCGCACAUGAAGAUCUCUUCACUCAGAAGACUCUUGUAAUUGUUACUUAUAUAUAUAUAUAGACUAACCCGUGUUAACAUACACCUACUUAGGUUUUAGUUGAUUUAUUGAGUUUUUCUUACGAACGAUUAACAGUGAUUUUAGGUACUUACAAUUAUUACCCGAUUUGAUUUUUGAAAUCACAAAACACUAAAUACAUUUUAACGAAGAUUGGACCCGUUAUUGACGCUUAAACAACUAUCGACAUCUCAAUAUAACAUUAUAAUACGUUUUAUGUAUCGAAAUUAUUUUUAAUUUAUAUUAUACAACCACAUAUUAUAACCUAAAUAUAGAAACGGACCUAUUAACCGCGAUUAAUACAAUACAUAAUAUUAAAUUAUAAUAAUAUAUCGUAAUUUCUUUUUAAAUGUAUACAUUGUUCGUAUUAUAUUUCAUUCAGAUCUCGUAAUCUUAGUUGUUGAGAUUUGUUUUAUAGAAUUAAAAUUAUAAUCAGGCAAAGCGAUGGAAAGUAGAUGCCUCACUGGUGUUUUUUGUACACAUGUGUUUUUCGUAUGUUAUAGAAUUGUGUAGCUUAAUGCGAAUUCGCGUUUAAAUAGGAUUAAAAAUUAACUGCGUUCAAGACGGUCAUAUAAUUUUCAAUUACUUUGCAUGGAUAAUAUGAAUAUUUUUUUUAUAUUACUCGAAUUCGAUUUUAGCCGGUCUUGUAGUUUUCUUUUUUUGCGAAGCAUAUACAUAUACAUAUACUUUACCCUCUAAUGCGAAAACAAGGGUGACCAUUAGGGUCGACAAAAAUGACAAAUGUCCAUACAAAUCACAGUCGAAUACGAGUAAUAAUUAACCGUGUCCACGAGGGUUGGUCGACGAGGGGUGGGGAUAAAUUUAAUUCUGUAAUGGGGUCCGAUAAAUAGAUUAAAAUGCCCUUUUGGCCUUAAUAAAUAUUGUCACGUGAUCACUGUUUGUAUAAUUUUAGUAUUAAAAUUAAAUGGACCGAAAUCAAAUGAUAGCGAUUUUAAAAUGCAUCUCUCUAUAAUAUUACAUCUGUAUAGGGUUACCUAGCUAUAUAUCCACGCACAACAUUUUCCCUACGUGAUAUCACUUCAUGACGUAUGCAGUGAACUCAAAAAUCUAGUAUAGAUGUAUGCGUGGGCGUGUGUAUAUUAUGAUUGUUACUAAUUUUUUUGAUAAAUAGUAAAAUAUAAUAUUUAGUUAGUCUGUGUAUCAUCGUUCAAUGAUAAUGUUCCGAUAAUAAUUUUAGGCUCCAUAUCCUUUGUUCGUAAAUAAUAUUAUGCAUAUUAUUCGUAUUAAUUAGGUAGAUACUAUAUUGAAUGUAAUAUUGGUUCGUAAUAUGUUUUAAAUUUAAAUAUAACUUCAGCUAAAUAUUAAUCGAGUGUGUCAAUAUAUUAAUAUAGUAGAGUUUAAGUGUAUUUUCAAUUGUAUAAAUAUUAUUUAA
rnacentral:misc_RNA from 1 species